UAUAAAAUAAAGAAUUUAAGGGAUGCUGUACGUUGAUCCAGAUUUGGUCAUGUAAGCGCAUUCAUAUUAGCAGACCGACUUUGCUUAUGCAUCGCGACUUACAGGGACAGUUUCCUUUGACAUAUAGGUAUAAUUGUCCACAAUAUUUUAUUCAACUGAAUUUGAACUCAUAAUUUCUUUAUACCAAAUAGGUAUAACGUGCGGUACGCUAACUACAAAUCAGCGACGCGACAUCGUGAGUUUUACCGAAAUGAGCUUGAUGGCCUCCAACACGAACAGUUCAAGUGGAGACCUUAUUCAUCGCCGGAGCUCGAUAUGCAUACUCUUGCACCUAUCUGUCGAGAUAGUCCCGACUUGUGGAGAGCCGGAGUUCCGAUGAUAUGUUAGGAGAUUGUGGAGAUGCACGUCCCCGACCGUGUGCUACGGUAAGUUAUGCUCUCUCAGCAUGUGUCAGAGCCUGUCGAGCAGAUCAAACGACGACCUACACCGUACCAACUGGGCUAUAGUCUGUGCGGCUUACAUAGACAGGUGGGAUUUCAUACAGGAUACAAGAGACAGUUAACUAUACCGCGUAUAUGCGUUGGUAUUGGGAUAUCACACGUAGAUGGAUCAUGCGUGACCCACAGCCAUCAGCUGGACACAUGCCACGCCCACCGACAGAAAGUUACAUCCCUAGUGGGAUGAUCGAGAGAUAUUAUGUCCAUGCUUUUGAUAGCAUUGAAGUUGAUAUUGAUGCACACAUGCCUUAGAUUCAGGAUUCGGUGGCGUUAGGGGUCUUCGGCAGGAUCAAGAAGACAAUAACACAGGUGUUUCAUAAGACUCACGUCGACGGGUUUGCAGGCCGUGAGGACAGGGCUCGAUCAUUUGGGCAAGCGUACACGUGAUGACGACAUGACGAUGAAGCCGACACUUCGCAUGCUGAUGGAGCUGACACUUAGCAUGCUGAUGGAGCCGAUGCUUCUCAGCCUCAUACACAACCGGAUACUCAGAUAACCGAGGCUCAUCAACAGGAACGCGGGGGGCGGGGAAGGGGGGAGGAGCUAUUUUGGGUUGUAUGUGAGUUUAUUUUGUUAAAAUUUAUAACUUUUAUGAAUUUUCAAAUACUAUACU